GGAGUCUGGACCGUGUCUCAGUUCCAGUGUGGGGGACCUUCCUCUCAGAACCCCUACCGAUCGUAGCCACGGUGGGCCGUUACCCCGCCGUCAAGCUAAUCGGACGCAUCCCCAUCCCAUGGCGUCAAACUUUAGUGCUCCUCAGAUGUCCUCAAAGCACAACAUAGGGUGUUAAUCCGCAUUUCUACGGGCUAUGCCCUACCAGGGGGAAGGUUGGAUACGCGUUACUCACCCGUGCGCCGGUCGCCAUCAAUCAAAGCAAGCUUCGAUUAUGCUGCCCCUCGACUUGCAUGUGUUAAGCCUGUAGCUAGCGUUCAUC
rnacentral:rRNA from 1 species